GCGAAGUAGCUGAUUUCACACUGUCAAGAAAAGUCUCUAUCGAGGUUAAAGGUACCCGUACCGCAAACCGACACAGGUGGGUGAGGAGAGUAUCCUAAGGCUAGCGAGAGAACUGUUGUUAAGGAACGCGGCAAAAUGACCCCGUAACUUAGGGAUAAGGGGUGCCACCAUCAGGUGGCCGCAGAGAAUAGGCCCAAGCGACUGUUUACCAAAAACAUAGGUUUCUGCU
rnacentral:rRNA from 1 species